UGAUUCUGUCCCCCCCCCCACUUCCCCUCAAGGGGUCGGAGAAGGGUUUGCCUGCCUCCUGAGCUGGUGGUGAAAUACCACUACUCUCAUCGUUGUUUUUUUUUUUAAUAACCCGGUGAGGGGUGGGGAGAGGCGAGCCCAAAGGGGACCUUCUCUGGGGACAGUGCCAGGUGGGGAGUUUGACUGGUAUGGUACACCUGUGAAACGUUAAAGCAGUGUCCUAAGGUGAGCUCAGGAAGGACAGAAACCUCCCGUGGAGAGGAAGGGCAAAAGCUUGCUAGAUCUUGAUUUUCAGUAUGAAUACAGACUAUGAAAGUGGGGCCUCAUGAGCCUUCUGACCUUUUCGGUUUAAAGCAGGAGGUGUCAGAAA
rnacentral:ncRNA from 1 species